GCGGGAGUGGCGGAACUGGUAGACGCGCCAGGUUUAGGACCUGGUGCCUUCGGGCGUGUGGGUUCGAGUCCCUCCUCCCGCACCA
rnacentral:tRNA from 1 species